rnacentral:rRNA from 1 species
UACGAAGGGUGCAAGCGUUACUCGGAAUUACUGGGCGUAAAGCGUGCGUAGGUGGUUUGUUAAGUCUGUUGUGAAAGCCCCGGGCUCAACCUGGGAAUGGCAAUGGAUACUGGCAAGCUAGAGUGCGGUAGAGGGUAGUGGAAUUCCCGGUGUAGCGGUGAAAUGCGUAGAGAUCGGGAGGAACACCAGUGGCGAAGGCGGCUACCCUGGACCAGCACUGACACUGAGGCACGAAAGCGUGGGGAGCAAACAGG